GGGCCCAUAGCUCAGUUGGUUAGAGUAGCUGACUCAUAAUCAGUUGGUCGCUGGUUCGAGCCCAGCUGGGCCCACCA
rnacentral:tRNA from 4 species